UUGCCUUCCCGUCGAAUGGAAAAUUUCGUGAGAUAGCCCCGCCCCUUUCCCCCUUGUGGCUUUGCGGCUACAAAGUGGACCUCGAAAGCAGUGCCUGUGUCCCGGGCAUAUCCGCUGACUGUUGUCGUGGCUGUCUCGGUCCACAGGACGACUGCUCGUGCUCUCGGAUGUGGAAAAUUAAGCGGACACGGGGGGUCUCGGCCUCCGGUUGCUCCCAAUCAAGUCCCUCGAUAGGAAUGACUUUCGAUGCCCUCAUUGAUCGCAGGCCGUCUUGGCCCGUGGCAUCAAUGCGGGUCCGAAGUCGAGAAAGGAUGCUACCUGGUUGAUCCUGCCAGUAGUCAUAUGCUUGUCUCAAAGAUUAAGCCAUGCAUGUGUAAGUAAA
rnacentral:misc_RNA from 1 species